ACCCAGCUGGCUCACUCAGUAGAGCAUGAGACUCCUGAUCUCAGAGUCAUGAGUUCAAGCCCCAGGUUGGACA
rnacentral:tRNA from 1 species